rnacentral:rRNA from 1 species
UGCGUAGGCGGUUUAAUAAGUCAGAGGUGAAAGCUCACAGCUUAACUGUGGAAUUGCCUUUGAUACUGUUGAACUUGAAUCAGGUUGAGGUUGGCGGAAUGUGACCUGUAGCGGUGAAAUGCAUAGAUAUGUCAUAGAACACCAAUUGCGAAGGCAGCUAGCUGGACCUGCAUUGACGCUGAGGCACGAAAGCGUGGGGAGCGAACAGGAUUAGAUACCCUGGUAGUCC